rnacentral:rRNA from 1 species
GAUGAACGCUGACAGAAUGCUUAACACAUGCAAGUCUUUGGCGAAUCUGUGCUUGCACAGGCUAGCCAAGGCGGACGGGUGAGUAACGCGUAAAGAACUUGCCCUGCAGGCAGGGAUAACAGACGGAAACGACUGAUAACACCUGAUACAGUUGCCGGCACGCAUGCGCCUGGCAAUGAAAAGAGAUGCUGCAGGAGAGCUUUGCGUCCUAUUAGCUUGUUGGUGAGGUGACGGCUCACCAAGGCGAUGAUAGGUAGCCGGCCUGAGAGGGUGAACGGCCACAAGGGGACUGAGAUACGGCCCUUACUCCUACGGGAGGCAGCAGUGGGGAAUAUUGGACAAUGGGGGCAACCCUGAUCCAGCAAUUCUGUGUGCACGAAGAAGGUUUUCGGAUUGUAAAGUGCUUUCAGAAGGGAAGAAGAAAGUGACGGUACCUGCAGAAGAAGCGACGGCUAAAUACGUG